GCCAUUUCACUGUAAGAGAGACACCGCAGCAAAAUGGGGUGGCAGAACGGAUGAAUCGAACUUUACUGGAGAGAGUUCGGUGUAUGUUGUCUAAUGCUGGGUUAGGCAAAAUGUUUUGGGCUGAGGCUAUUGUGUAUGCCUGUCACCUUAUUAACAGGUUGCCUUCGACUGCGAUUGAGGGCAAAACUCCUAUGGAGGUUUGGUCUGGUAAGCCUGCUUCAGACUAUUGUUUUCUUCAUGUGUUUGGGUGUCCAGCUUACUAUCAUGUCCGAGAGAGUAAGUUGGAUCCUCGUGCAAAGAAGUCUUUAUUUAUGGGUCUACAGAGUGGAGUAAAAGGUUAUAAGUUAUGGGAUCCAGAAUUGAAGAAAAUUAUUCUAAGCAGAGAUGUGACAUUCGAUGAGGCUUCUAUGUUGAAGCCUAAGAGCUCUCAGCAGGUGGAGAGCAAGGCCAAAGAUGUUUCGCAAUGGGUGGAGACUGAAAUAUCUCCACGUGUUCCAGGUGGUUCUGUAUAUUUGGAAACGUCUACUAUAAGGGUUCCAAGUAUUGAGGUUCCUAGUGUUACAGAUUCUGAUGACAUGACAGAUAAUGAGGUUGAUGAUGAGACGGGUGAUGAUACAGUACAUGUGGACUCUAAUGAUGAGGGUCCAAUUGCAUCUAGAUUAUCCAAGAGAAAUGUCGGUGUUCCUAAACGGCUUACUGAUGAUAUGGUAGCUUAUGCACUUUCGGUUGUUGAUGAGGGUAUUCCAGAAACUUUUCGUGAAGCACUGCAGAGUAGUGAUUAUGAAAGGUGGAAGAUGGCCAUGGAUGAGGAGAUAAAAUCUCUUCAUAAGAAUGAAACUUGGGAACUCAUGGAGUUGCCUAAGGGAAAGAAAGCAAUCGGGUGCAAAUGGGUUUACACUAAGAAAAAUGGGUCUCCUGGUGAAAAUGUACGCUUCAAAACAAGAUUGGUGGCAAAAGGCUAUGCUCAGAAGGAGGGAAUUGAUUAUAAUGAAAUCUUUUCUCCAGUUGUGAAACAUUCCUCUAUUCGCAUCCUAUUGGCCUUAGUAGCACAAUUUGAUUUGGAGUUAGCUCAACUUGAUGUGAAAACUGUUUUUCUACAUGGUGAGCUAGAUGAUGAGAUCUAUAUGACUCAGCCGAGUGGUUAUAAAGAUGCGGGUAAUGAUAAGCUGGUGUGUAAAUUGAAGAAAUCGCUGUAUGGGUUGAAGCAAUCUCCAAGGCAAUGGUACAAGCGGUUUACUCGGUUUAUGCUAGGGCGAGGGUACACAAGAAGUCCAUAUGAUCCUUGUGUCUAUUUUCGCAAGGUAUGUGAUGGUUCUUUUAUCUAUUUGUUUUUAUAUGUUGAUGACAUGCUCAUAGCCUCUAAAAGCAAUGUGGAGAUAGACAAGUUGAAAAAGACUAUGUCUAUGGAGUUUGAGAUGAAAGAUCUUGGUGAAGCAAGAAAGAUACUUGGCAUAGAAAUUCAGAGGGAACGAGACAAUGGAAGAUUGUGGUUAUCUCAAAAGGCCUAUCUACAGAAGGUGCUACAGAGAUUUAGCCAAUAUGAGAUUGGUACAGCUGUGAGUAUACCUCUCUCAAAAGAUUUUAACUUGAAUGCUUCCAUGUCUCCUAAUUCUGAUAGGGAACGUGCUUACAUGACACGUUAUCCAUAUGCAAGUGCGGUUGGUAGCUUGAUGUAUGCGAUGGUAUGUACAAGGCCCGACAUUGGGCAUGCAGUUGGCACUGUAAGUAGGUACAUGCAUAAUCCUGGUGAGAAAUAUUGGGAAGCUGUGAAAUGGAUCUUACGCUACAUUCAAGGUAGUGUGGAGGUUGGUUUACUAUUCCAGAAGGGAAGGGAUUUGAAUCAGUUUUGUGUUGGUUAUGUGGACGCUGAUUAUGAUGGUCAAAUAGAGAGAUGUCGGUCUACUACUGGAUAUGUUUUUACAUUGGCAGGUGGUUCUAUUAGUUGGCGGUCUACAUUACAAUCUCUUGUUGUUUUGUCUUCGACAGAAGCAGAAUAUAUGGCUGUGACUGAAGCCUUUAAAGAAGCCAUUUGGUUACGAGGUAUGUUGAAAAACUUGGGUAUUGUGCAAGAGCAGCUUAUGGUUCAUUGUGACAAUCAAAAUACCAUAAAUCUGGCAAAGAACUCAGUUUAUCAUGCUCGUACAAAGCACAUUGAUGUGCGACAUCACUUUGUCAGAGACAUUAUUGAAGAGGGUGAGAUUUUAUUGAAGAAGAUUCAUACUAGCAAUAAUCCGGCUGACAUGUUGACUAAAGUGGUUUCAGGGACUAAGUUCUAUCAUUGCUUAGAUUUGGUCCAUGUUCUUCCUUUGAGUGGAUAGUAUAUUUUGGAGUGAACUACGAUGGCUUGAUCCCUUAGAAGAAGGGUACGUAGGCAACCAUGAAGUGGUGCAGCCGAGGUGGUCUUUCGGGACAUGUGUGGGAGUUUGUGACUUGUGUAUGUCGGCUUAGAUUUAUUGAAUCUUCGCCGAGGUGGAGAAUUGUUGGGUUUUAUGUGCAAUAUGGGCCUGUUUGGGCCCAAAUUCGUGGUCUAUUGUAAGGCUAUACUAUAAAGCCAAAUAGAAGUGAUACAAAACCUUAAUUUUUCUAAGAGAGAGAUUGUGAGAAGCCAUUAGAGAGUUUGAGAGAACUUUGUGAGGAAGAAGACUUCGGUUUCUUUGUGAGGGCUUGUACAAUUGUCUAGAUAAGAAAAACAUCAUCCUUUCUCCCCGUGGACGUAGGCAUAUUGCCGAACCACGUAUAUCUUGUGUCUUGUGUGUGGUUGCUUGUUUAUUUUGUCUUUUUCGUUUUACUUUCAUACAUUAGUUCAAUCAUCAUAUUUGUGCAUUAGUUUCCGCUGCGCACAACAGAUCUCAUGCACAUAUAGAUUUCUCUAGCAAGGAAUAUCAUUACCAAAUACCAUCCAUAAAGUGAUAUAUUAGAAAAGGCUACUAUAGGGCUACUAUUACAAUUUAUCUUUAUAUUUGUACCCUUAUAACAACCUUAUAUUAUUGAUGACAACUAGGCAAGCAUGUUAAAAUGCGGCAUAAAGUUUUUCGAGAGGCUAUUACUGAUGACCUUUGUUGCUUUAACAUGAAUAAUGUUGCUAUUAAGGAUCUUAAACAUGCUUACGUUGAUUAAAACUCAAAGGAUGACUCUGCUAUGUGCUUAAAACUUUGAAAUCACGAGUCAUCAUCAUGAAUCAUCCAGGGCAGAUUGGUAAUGGGGCAUUGCUCAUGUUUUAGAUUGUCACACUUCCCACAUUACGGUCUAAGAAUGCAAACAUUCUGACCAAGAAUAAUAGACAUUGUGGUAAAAAGCUUGAAAGUGGGCAUAUGUCCCUGCCCCUCUCAGCAGUUUGGGCCUACGAAAUGUUCUUGAUGUGAAAAACAAGCCAUUAGUAUCUAUUGAAAUUUGUUGAAUUGUCGUUGCUUUGAACCAUAGUUAAGCUUAUUGUUGUUGAUUGUGAUGAUGUUAUCAUUUUGCAACUAUUUGUAUUCAUUAAAAUUUGUUAAAUUGUGUGAAUGUUUUUGUUAGUGUGUUGAAAAACGUGUUUGUGGCUCAGUGGUAGUGUAAAGACCCGGCCUAUACACCAUCGAUACGAUUCUCACUUAGCCACUGCGAUCGUCUAAUAGUGUGGGGUUUUACAGGCAUCAGCCUGCUUCCUAGAAGGUUACCCAUCUUGAGGCUACUCACAUCCGAGCACGCUUAACUCUGGAGUCAAGAGUACUCAAAAUGCCUCGGUGAUGAUAUAUGACGAUUAUAUAUCUAUAUUCCAAUGUCAGGACAUCUCCUCUUAAGUGUCGUAGGACCCACCCCCUCGGUAAACCACCUGCCGACUCGGGGUGUUACAGGUAGCUUAGCACCCCUCUCACAAAGUGGAGAGGUUGUGGGUUCGAACACACAUCAACAACUAAUUGUUGAUAUAAGUUUCCACACCUAAUUUAAAGGGGUAGGGAUCCCCUCAACCCUGUUUGCUAAUAAAAAAAAAGUCACAAAAUUAUAGUACAGAAAGGAAAACAAAUAACAUGUAAUUAUAAUUAAUAAAACAUUCCCUUCGUGUUAUACCUUAAAAAUGAAAACUAUAGAUCACCUUGAUUAGAACAUUUUAUGUUAAACUAUUACCGAAAAUGCAUAUAACUAAAACUAGAAGGUCAUUGAGAGGGGGUACUUAUGUAAUUUACAGUUAUAUUAUGUGGAAUUUAGUUAUCAAUGAAACACCUAGAAAAGAGGAGAAAGAGUAAUAACUGCUCGUAACUGAACUACGUGCAGUUUGAUCCCUUUCACUAUAAAAGGGGAUGGAGGCAACUUGGUGAAGCGGGGGAACAAAAAAAUAGAGAUCUGGAAAAAUAUCUUGAAUAAGGAAAAAGAAGAUUCUAAAUUGACACACACAAUUUGGCGCCCACCGUGGGGCACGAAGAUUUUGACUCAUGAUUAACACAAGCAUGGUUGGGAGAGGAAAACGACGGAAAAAAAAAGAAUGUAGUUGUUGAUAAUCCGGAACCAAGUGAGAGUAUGGAAGAAAGGUUGAUGAAUUUAGAACAAGAAAAUGAAUAUUUGAUAAAAGAAAAUAAUAGUAUCAAAGAAACAAUGGAAGAAAGAAGAAAUUUAAUUAGGCAACAAAUUGAAAGGGAUGAAGAAGUGCAAGACCGACUUCCAGAAACUGAAAAGGGAUUGUUCCUACUAUUGGAACAUUGGAACAAAUUACUGAAUUAUUGAACAAGGAAAAUCAUCAUGGGAAGAAAUCGGCAUAAGGAGCCGCGAAGAAGGCCAUCACAGGGUUGCGAUCUUAUCCAUUCUCAGAGGCAAUUCAAAAUUGUGAAAUCUCAAAAACGUUUUCUAUCCCAAAAUUCACAAUGUAUGGAGGGAUAACUGAUCCAACGAUACAUCUUAUGCACUUUAAUCAAAUGAUGGUUUGUUAUUUAGGAUCAGACUUUGAGAAUUUAAGUUGCAAAAUAUUUCCAUCAAGUCUGGAGAAUGAUGCAUUAAUUUGGUUUUACAAAUUGCCAAGUUGAAGUAUAACGUCUUUCAAUGUCCUUGAAGAAAUAUCUGUCUCACACUCAGGGCCGGAUCUGCAUGUAGGCGAAGUAGGCAGCCGAUUAAGGUAGUGUAUGUAUUACUUUUUAAACCCAAUUGUAGAAAGCCCAAUACACAUUUUAGAAGCCCUAGUUGUAUGUAUCAUCAAGACAUCAACGAAUCUUUCAUUCACUUUCUUUCCUCUUUGUCUCAUUGUCUGUAUCUUUCAUCAGCUAUUCAUCUUCUGAUCUUCCUCUCAUUAAACAAUCAGGUAAAUCUCAAAUUUUGUUUAUUAAUCUUUUCUUUAUAUAUUUAAUACCUCUAAUUGAUUUGCUUAUUCAAUUUUAUAUAUAUAUCUAUAAUUACCCCAUAAUUCAAGAUUUCAAGUAAAUACAAUCAGUAAUUCACAACUUAUUACUUAAUUACCUAAUUUUACUUCUUGUUAUUAUUUUUAUGUUUUGUUUUUAAUUACACUAGAAGAAAGUUUAAAUGAGAUUUUGUUUUUUGUCAUAAAAUUGCACUAUUGCAGAUUUUUAGAGGAAUUGAGGCCUUGGGGGUCUUCUGAUUUCUAACUAUGCUUCGCAAGCAUGAAUCUGGUCACAGUAAAAGAAAAAAGAAACAAAAAUUGGAACAACUCACUCAAUCUCUAGUAGCCACAGGUGGUAUUCAUAGAUAUUUUGCAACCACUACCAACAACAAUCAAAGUUUAGUGCAAGAUGUUACUGAGGAUAACAAUAAUGUUGAUAAAGAGCAUGUAACUGAGAAUCAUACAAGUGUAAUGAGUAAGUAUUGCAUGCAUCUAUAACGACAAUUUUUUUUUCUUCUAUAUAUUUUUUUGUCUUAAGAAAGGCCUCGUAUUAGAAAGUCGAUUAAGGCCACCAAAACCCCAGAACCGGCCCUGCUCACACUAUAUCCAUCUUCAAAAGUAAACUGGAGACGUGAGUAAUUUGUUCAAUUUGAAACAAAGUAGAGAAAAACUUUUGAGGCCAUACACUUUAAAGUAUAUUUUGUAUUUGGCCCCUCUAGAAGAUAGGUAAUUAGUAUGUGGUCUAAUUUUUUGGUUUAUUAGCAAAUAGUCCUAAAAUCGUUACUUGACUGUUAGUCAAUACAGUUGACUCGAGUCAAGACAUCCAUAUUUUUUUUAAUAGCCAAACUACCCUUUUAAUCACGAACAUAUCCCGUCAAAUAUUCUAUUUAACAUAAAAAUCUAAUAUUCUCAAAAAUUUAAAUCCUACUUAAAAAAAAAAAUUGAUAACUGAACUUACACAAAAUUGAAAAAAAAAAAAGUAAAUUUUUAAUCAAAUUAGACCUAGUAAUUUAACAAAUAGAAAUGGGUUUGCAACUGGUAUGAAAGAGAAUGGAUUUGGGGCUUUGGAGAAGUAAAACAAAAUGAGGGUUUUGUAUGUUUCUUUAGGGAUUUGGAUUUUUAGAUGUUUUGGAAAGUUUGAGGGAAAAUGAUAAUUCAUAAACUUUAGACCAGAAUUUGAAAUUGCUUGAAUCACAAAGCAAAUUUCCAUUCUCAUUUGUCCAUUUUCAUUGAAACGAGAUAUUAGAACCAACAAAAUAAUUUUUAAAGGAGAAUGAUGCAUCUACUGCCAUCAUGAAUCAUGAUAGCUAAAAAGCUUUAUUCCUUCACCAUUUUCUUCAACCCCACCAUCAUCAACUUAUGAAAUUGAAGUGGCCGAUUCGAAUUUUAAAGAAAGAGAUUAAAACUAAAAGUCAACUUGGUACAAUGAACACCAUCACUCGUUACUUGAUUCAAAGUUGGAUUUGAUUUCAGCUCAUGUCAAAUUAGAAUAAAGAGAUUUUCAAGUUGUUUUAUGAUAGUAAAAUUGAAGGUUAAGGUUUGUUUAGUUUAUGGGUUUUUUAAAGUUGUUUUUCAUAGGGGAAGAAGGUGAAAAGAAGUAAACUGAAUUUGGUCUUUGUUAGUUCGAUGAUGAUAGAGUGAGAUUGAAGGCUCUGCUUGGUUCGAUGCAAAAAAGUGCUAAUGCAUCUAAUUGUUAGUAACCACUCAUAAAUAUGUGAUUGGGAGCACCCUUGCAAAAUUUAGUUAUUGCAACUCAUUCCCCACUACUCCCACCUAUAAAUAGUUCAUGUGCAAGUUGAUUGUAGCCCAAAUUUCAUCGCAUCCACUUGCAAUUAGAGGUGGGAUACGAAAUCUAAGGAAAAUAACUACCUUCGAGCUCGUCGUCUUCUCCUUUAGAACUCGUCUUCUCCAAUUGGAAUACAUUUUUCUGCUUGAAAAGAGUUCCCCAUCUCAAUCUAAAGCUUCACAUUCAUCUGUUAUCUCUUGAUUUUGCUAAGGUAAGCUGUAGGGGUACUACAUACUCCAACCAAUCAAAAAUAGCCACGUGGCACAAUCAUUCAUCCAUCAGGUCGCCACGAUCUCUACCUGAUAGCAGCUCGACCACAACAGCUCAAUCUCAUAACGAGCAGCGGCCUGCUUAUACACACGUGCUCUCAUUCAAUGCACAGAAUAUUCUCGUCAGUUACAUAAUUAAUUCACAGGGAUGAUCCUCGUGCGUUACACAAUUAAUCCUCAUUAUGAUGACGGAGAAUCUGCAAGAUCCACGAUCCACGCCUUUCUACAUCCUAUAAGAACAGAACUACGAUGGCUUGAUCUCUAAGUUCAAUCCCCUCGAGCUAAGAGUACGUAGGCAAUCUCGAUCUCAACGAGGUGCAGCCACCCCGACCUAAAACUUCCCCUUUGGUCAAGUCUCCCAGCGACCUGACCUAGUAGUGCAUUAAUCUAGAAAUAGGUUAAUACAUUUGGCGCCGACUGCAAGGAAUUCGAUAUAAUCGAAAAAUCCAAACCCUCCCACCCUUCUCAAAGUCAUCUAUUCAAAUGACUACCCCAGAGUUAACUAUCCACGAUCUGCAUGCACAAAUCACUCUUUUGCAGGAAGAAAACGCACGUUUGAAGGCCGCACAAACCAACCCCCAACAAGUUGAAAAUGGCGGACAUGGAGUCAUUCCUGAUGAUGAUUCCAACCAGAAAUACGAACAACUCAGCCAACAACUGGCGGAGUUCAAAGCCUCCCAGGCUCUCCUUCACCAUUCCAAGAGCCACACCACAGAGCAACUUGCUGUACAGUCCCUCCAACAGUUCCAGGAGUCUCCUUUCUCCAAGGAGAUCCUUGAACAUGAUUUGCCGAACAAGCUCAAUGCCCCCAAGUUCGACCAGUAUGCCGGAGUCGGAGAUCCAACCGACCACAUCAAGGGUUUCCGGAAAUCCCUUCCUCUGAUCAAGGAGGAUCACCUUUUGUGUUUACUGUUCCAGUCCAGCCUCACUGGACCAGCUCUUGACUGGUUUCACCGAUUGAAGCCAGGUUCCAUCAGCUCGUUUGUCGAGCUCGAAAAGCAAUUUGUCAUCUUCUACAUCCACAACAAGAAGCGCCCCGUCACCAUCGAUUCAAUCUUUAAAGUCAAGCAACGAGAUGGUGAGUCACUAAGCGUUUUCUUUGCUCGUUUUAAAUCUGAAUUACACUCAAUUCAGGAUUUUGCAAAGGAGCACGAGACCUUUGCAACCAUCGCAUUAACUCACGGUCUGACCCAGGGGUCCGACCUCCACAAGUCGCUAGCCAUGAAGCGACCUUCAUCACUGGACGAGCUCUACCUAAAGGUAGAUCGUUAUAUCAAGCUCGAGGAAGCCCUCACUGGGAGGGAGAAAAAUCACGUAGUCAGCAAUGUGGAGUCUGGCUCAACCAAGCGACCUUGGUCAGAUGGCAAGAGGUUCAAGGCUAAGUCGUUGCCUACUGAGCAGCGAGAAUAUCACCGGUUUACAAGACCAGCCGGUUACAUCUUUGAGCGAAUCAAGCACAACCACUGGUGCAGGAUUCCUACCUUCACACAGUUGGAGGAUACAUCUGGACGACCAUACUGCAAAGUCCACAAGGUACGGUGUCAUCAAACAGAUGACUGUCGCGUUCUAAAACGCGCACUGCAAACAUGGGCCGACGAGAAAAGGCUCAACAAUUGGAUCCUCGGAAGGAAUGAGGAAUCCACAGGCAAGCGGGUGAGGAAGGAGUCCAGAACGCCUCCCCGUUCCCCAAAAAGAAAUCACAGCAAGGCCAGAACGGCCUCAGCAAGCCCAGUCCGCAACAGAGGGCGUAGCCUCUCCCAACGUUUAGGUCCAACAGGAGACCUACGCGACCAAAUCAACAAGAAGGUCGCGCAUAAGAUCGACAGUGACAGCGAAUCGGAAAGUCAUGUAGUCUACAUGAUUGACGAAUCCAACCACACCCCUGUCUCUCGAGAGAAGAAGAGACGAGUAGAGCAUCUUCAUCAUGUCUACUCCAUUACUGGCCGAGCAGCUCGUUUCAACAUCCCUGCUCGCCAAGAGUCCGACAUCACUUUCACCGAGGACGAUCUCAACAAGGUCGUUACUCCUCACAACGACGCCCUUGUCGUUGAGCUGCGGAUUGCAGACUAUACCAUCAAGAGGGUAUUUAUAGACCCUGGCGCAUCAUGCAACAUCCUCAUGUACAGAACCUUCAAAGACAUGAGGUUGCCCGAUUCAGUUCUCAUCCCCGAUUUCACUCCCAUCUUGGGCUUCAACAGUUCAAGAGAGGAUCCUAAGGGUAAAAUUCUGUUGCCCGUCACUGUGGGCAGAAAGGAAGACAAGGUCGUUAUGACCACCAAGUUCAGCAUCCUUAAUAUCGCAAGCAAGUACAAUGCGAUUCUGGGUCGCAAGUGGAUCCAUGCUAUGAGAGGUGUGUCGUCCACAUAUCAUCAAGUAUUUCGCUAUCCUGGCCCUCAUGGGAUAAUGGAACUUCGCGGUAAUCAGAACACCGCACAGGAAUGUCAUGGCAUUGUUGAAGCUGUACCACAGUCAAAGCCAUCCACCUCUGGAACCAAGGAUGCUGAAGUCAAAGGAAAGAGCCCAAUCUCACCAGAGGCUCAACAGGGCGACAACAAGUCAAAAAGCCCUUCCAAAGAAAAGAGUGAAGCCACCAAAUAGCAACUACAGAAGGAGCUAGCGAGCUCCCCCAAGCUAAAUCUCGGAAGUACUGAUCCAGGUGUACGUGUGACCAUUGGGUCAGAGGAUGACCCGAGAUAUAUCUAUGUAGGUGCAGAGUUGAAGGAAGAUAAGUUCAAUAACUUUGUAAAUUUUCUUUCAACUAAUAAAGAUGUUUUUGCUUGGUCGUAUAUCGAUAUGCUUGGUAUAGAUCCAUCAAUUGCAUGUCAUAAACUGCGGGUCAAUCCCAAUUAUCGACCUGUAAGGCAAAAAUCAAGAAGGCUUGCUCCCAAAUUUCACGAAGCUGUCAAUGAAGAGAUCAGCAGACUUAAACAGGUCGACUUCAUCAGAGAGGUCGACACUCCAGACUGGCUAGCCAACAUCGUACCAGUCUUAAAGAAGAAUGGGAAAACAAGAGUCUGCAUCGACUUCACAAGUUUGAACAAAGCUUGUCCUAAAGAUUCAUUCCCACUGCCACGAAUCGAUAGGCUAGUCGAUCAGACAUGCGGUUUUGAGCUACUGUCAUUCAUGGACGCAUACUCAGGGUAUAACCAGAUCCCAAUGUACGAGCCUGACCAAGAGAAGACCUCUUUCACAACAGAGCAAGGCAUUUUCUGCUACAAGGUUAUGUCAUUCGGGUUAAGUCUGCUACAAGGUUAUGCCAUUCGGGUUAAGGAAUGCAGGAGCGACCUAUCAAAGACUGGUCACCAAAAUGUUCGACGACCUCCUAGGUCGAACAAUGGAAGUCUACAUUGACGACAUGCUAGUAAAGAGCAACCAAGAGCAAGAUCAUUUGUACAAUCUCGACCAGGCAUUCCAAAGAUUAAGACAAUACAGAAUGCGUCUCAAUCCAGAGAAGUGUCUGUUUGGGGUUGCAUCAGGAAAAUUCCUCGGCUACCUAGUCACCAGACGAGGUAUUGAAGCAAAUCCAGACCAGAUCAGAGCCCUGAUCGACAUGCCAAGCCCAAAAACAAAGAAACAAAUCCAAAAACUCAAUGGCAUGGUGUCAGCUCUGAACAGAUUCAUCUCCAGAGCAUCAGACAAAUGUCGACCAAUGCUCCAUAUCCUAAAGAAGGGGGUUACAUAUGAGUGGACAGAAGAAUGCGAGAAGGCAUUCAAUGAUCUCAAGGCAUAUUUGUCUACUCCACCAGUGCUCACGAGACCUAACGAUGGAGAUGUACUCGGCGUUUACCUCGCAACAUCAGAUUUUGCGAUCAGUGCAGUACUUUUUAAAGAAGAAAACCAGGUCGAGCGACCUAUCUAUUUCACAAGCAAAGUCUUACAGCAGGCCGAAAUAAGGUACACACCUCUGGUGAAGUUAGCAUUAGCCCUACUUUACGCUGCAUGCAAAUUCAAACCUUAUUUUCAAGCGCACACUGUAAAAGUAAUCACCGACCAGCCACUACGCCAUAUACUAGAAAAGAAGAACAAAACAGGUCGUAUGGCUCGAUGGGCAGCCGAGUUGGGUGAUUACACUUUUGAGUUAGUUUCACGGCAGGCCGUCAAGGGCCAGGUCGUUGCAGAUUUCUUGGUAGACUAUCCAGCAGAGGAUACCAAUUGGGAACCAGAACUUGAAACAAGGCAAGUCCAAUACAGCCCUCCUGACACAUGGCAACUAUAUGUAGAUGGUUCCCACAACUCCAACGGAAGUGGCAUAAGUGCUGUAUUAAUUUCUCCUGAAGGUUCACAGCUCGAGAGAUCAACUCGUCUCGACUUCGCGACCUCCAACAACGAGGCCGAAUACGAAGCUCUAAUACAGGGCCUACAAAUGGCCAUCGACCUACAAGCAAUUCGCCUGAAGGUGUACAGUGAUUCACAACUGGUAGUCAAUCAGAUUACCAGUAAUUACCAGAUCAAUGGGGUCAACCUAAUCAGGUAUGCUAGCAAAGCAAAGGAACUCAUCAACAAGCUCAGUUAUUUCACAAUCGAGCACAUACCAAGAGAUGACAACAGACACGCUGAUUCAUUGGCAUUCUUAGCAUCUAAGAUCGAGUCAGACAGACCGCGGGCUCUCACCAUAGCAAUCAGUACACAACCCACAUAUCUAUUCAAGGAAGAAGAUGUUCAUCAAAUCUCUGAUCUACUAGAGACAACUCCAGCAGAUAUCCAAGGGACUUGGAUGGAGCCUUUCAUUAUUUACCUUCAAACUGGUGUCCUACCAUCCAACAAAAAGGAAGCCAGUCAGCUGUUACAUAAAGUCACAAUUUACAAACUCCAUGAGGGUAAACUUUUCAGAAAGUCCGCAACUGGUUUGUUAUUACGGUGCCUAAUCCCCAAACAGGGCCAGAUGAUAUUUCAAGAAAUCCAUGAAGGGGAAUGUAGAAACCACUCCGGAGGGCGAACCUUAGCCCAUAAAGCAAUCUCCCAGGGAUACUUCUGGCCAAGAAUGAAGGAAGAUGCCAAGAAAUUCGUUUUGAAGUGUAAAGAAUGCCAACGAUUUGCUGAUAAGCAACAUCAGCAUCCCAAUGAUCUCAUCAACGUCACUGCACCAUGGCCAUUCCACAUGUGGGGGCUUGAUAUCAUGGGCCCCCUAAUCAAAGAGAAGAAAUCAGAGAAGAGAUUCGUUCUAGUGGCCGUCGACUACUUCACUAGAUGGGUGGAAGCUGUUGCACUAACCAACGUUACUCAAGCGGAUGUUCAGAGAUUCAUGUGGGAAAACAUCAUCACAAGGUUUGGCCUACCAAAACGGGUAGUCACAGACAAUGGCACUCAGUUCGUUGGCAAAAAUAUCAAGGCUUUCUACGACUUAUGGAAAAUCGAGCAUUCAAGGUCAACGCCUAGAUAUCCACAAGCCAACGGCCAGGUCGAAGCUGCAAACCGACAGAUUCUAAACAACCUGAAGAAAAAGCUCGAAGAUCAGCAUGAUCAAUGGCCACAACAGUUGGAGAACAUCCUAUGGGCUUAUAGGACAACCCCUCGUACAUCCACUGGGAUGUCACCAUUCAGUCUUUGCUAUGGAGUUGAGGCCGUUAUUCCCACCGAGUUAACAUUUGGAACGACCAAAUCUCUUCUGGUCGACACUGAACUUAACAAUCAGAUCUGGUCGUUCGGAAUCGAUCUCCUCGAAGAGCGACGAAACCACGCCGUUAUAAAGCUUGAGCAAUACCAACAAAGACUAAAGCGAGCCUAUAACAAAGGCGUACGACCUAGAUCUUUUCAACCAGGAGAACUGGUUCUAAGGAAAAUGUUCCACAACAAGAGGAAGAACAUUAUUGGCAAGCUCAAUGCCAACUGGGAUGGGCCUUACAUCAUCACCAAGGUUCAAAGCAACGGUUCUUAUCGUCUUCAAACACCAGAAGGAGAGAUCGUUAAGAACCCAUGGAAUGCUUUUCACUUGAAGAAGUUUUAUCAAUGAAGUGUAAGCAUCCAUAUAUUACGUUUCAAUAUACAAACUCAUUGUUGCCUUCAUCUCAGCUCAAACAUGAAUGGCUCUUAAAGGUCUAAUCCCUCGACCUACAACUUAUCAAAACUCUAGUCCUUUUGAUGAUUUUAAUUUUUUUAAGUUCAAACAUCUGCAACUUAACUUGGUGCAUUGGUCAUAUCAAUCCCACGACCUAUGUACAUUCAAGCAACCAUGCAUACGACCUCAUCCACCAGCAGGUCCAGCACUUAGAUCAUUACUUAUUGUUUGCAAAACUCAUACAAGUAGACAACGUAACAAGAACAACAAUGUAAGGUAAAUCAUUGAAAUUUCUUUUUACUUCAUGAGAUUCUAACCAUUACAGGUAAAAGUAAAGUCAAACUAAGGCAUACAAGAAGAACUAUUUCAGUUCGUCCUACUUGCAGCCAUUCAUCUCGUCUACCUGCCUUCUGAACGAGCUACCAGGACUCCCUGGAAACUAGCUGAUCAGAAUGGCUUAAGUACAAGCUCAUCAAAAUUAAUGUUGUUCAAUACGACUCCAAACAAAAACAAUUGUCUUCUCAAGCUCACAAACUCAGAGGACUACUUUGAGGAAGACCAAAGAAGACUUACUGCAAGAAGAAGGAGUGCAAGAAGCAAACUUUGCACAAGGUUACCCAAUACAAGAAAGUUGGUACCCGGACUAGUUCAUUGCUGCGCUGGCUGGUCGCUGGAACCAUCAAUUUCCAUACAGCCACUGGCGACCUGGUCAUUAGGGCCCAUCAAGGCGUCCUGAGCUGGCACCAAAGCUACAUCAGCACCACCUCGCGUCUCCUCUCCUUCGGGCGACCCCUCCAAAGCUUUCAUCAAGCUGUCGCAGUAGGCCUUCCACGCUGCGCCAUUCUCCUGGCAUGCGUGCUCCCAGUAUUCAGCAGCAGCCUUAGCACCAGCGGAGUCUACCUUCAACUGCUCCACCUUCUCCUUCAGCUGCUCCACCAUCUCCUUCAACGCCGCGACCUGCGCAUCCCUGUCCUUCACCUUGCUCUCAGCAACAACAACAACACUCUUCACCUGCUCGAGCUUCUCGUUAAGAUCCUUCAGCUCAAUCUCAGCUCGAGCACCAAUCUCAGCAACCAGACGCACCUCCUGGAAGCUUGCGUUGAGCUGUAAGGGCAAACAGAGUUUAGUCAGCAAAGACUAAGCAAAAUCAAAAGAAAAACUUAUUACCACACUCACCAAAGACAACGCCGCGUUUAUCUUCGAGCAGGUCACCAACAAAGUCUGCGACUUCACUGCUCGAGCAUCAGCAUCCAAAACGAUGCCCUCAUUUACAGCCCGGGCAACGCAGGGGUCGUCAAUCGCACUGUCGCUAUCAUACACGACAUGCUUCUCACCACGACCAUCCAGAUAAUCGAAUGGCCCAGGACGGAACUCGGACGAUACCCCCUUGCCUUUCUGCAAAGACCGAGCAUCAGUCUUCCUGGACAUAAGAGGAGUUUCAGGAGACUUCACAAACUUUGGAGGAGCAGGGGAUGGCACAGUUGGAGGCUCCAUCAACUUCAGGUUCCCUGCAAGUGACCUUUUCUUCCAGACCAAGGCAGUCAGUUUGGGAAGUAAGGGCGGAGGAGACACGACUGGGGGGCCCGCCACUACCUCCGCCUGGCGCGAGCUACCACCAACUCUCUCCUUCUCCACAAGUCGUUCUUUCUCCGACCUCCGAGCAGCGACACCAGACCGCUCUCUUUCACCAGUCUUCGAGCUACCACCAGCUCGUUCCUUCUCACCAGCACGCGCGCUACCACCAGAACGCCCAGCUUCACCUUUAUGUACAGAAGACAUAUGGGCCUUCCUCAGCGACUUCCUCCUCUGAAGCUCUUCUUCAACGGUUUUCGGACCACCCUUGGGAAUAAAAUGCUCCUUCAGAUGGGGUAAGAGCCGUAUCUUACGUUUGUCAGCCAAUAAACCAAAACCGUUCAAAGCGGACUGCAGAUCGUUUUUCCUCACAAGAUGAUCGUCCCUGAUCGCUGCAAAAACAUACAACAUAAUCAAGUCUAGAAAAAGGAAAAUAAUCUACCAUCCUAAGGCUAACGACCAGAAACUUACGAGCAUCAUUCCUAGUCACAUGACGCAACUGGAUGCUCCCCUCAAUGAUCGACCCAGUAAUCAGCAUAGAAUCUUUCCACCAUGGCUCACUACUUACAGGAUAGAUCAAAGGCAAACGUUCUGGCCUAACUUGCAUGUUAUAGCCGGAAAAGUCAGCCUUUGAAGAACGUUUGAAGCUGAAGUGGUCCAACACAUCCUUCACAGUGAUGUCCCACCUAUGCAACUUGUUGAGGUCUUCAAUCACCCUCAUAUUUCUCCAGAAAUUGCCAUUCAUCUGGCAGGGGGCUCGACCUAUAGCAUUCAACAGGUCGACCACCAAACAAGACAAUGGCAGCCUCAGCCCAGCUCGGAAUUGGGUCAAGGUAAAUACAGUAGAGAAAGGAUUUUUAGGCCGAUACUCAGCAGAAAGUAAACGAUCUCCUAAAAAUCUAAUCUCCAAAUGCUCAAUCGAGCUAAGACCGUACUGUUUCCUAAACGAAAUGUGCCUAUUUACAUACUUAAAGUUCACUACUCUACACAUCCAACCAUCGUCUCCUUCCACCAUUUCUUCGUCAGACGAGUCCGCCCCAUGAGAGCCGCUACUCUGGGGGCUAUCAGGGUCCGCACCACGAAUGGGAGACAAGGGUUCAGAAUGAGUCCCUUCAGACUCAUACUCCUCACCGCCACCACCACUCAAGUGAUCAUUUUGAGAGUCACUCGAGUCAGACAUUUUUCUCAAACCAACAGAAAGGAAAACAGAAGAUGAAAGAAAAGUAAAAGAAGGAGACUAACCUCACGAGCUCUCAAAGUUCUUCAGAUCGCAAAAGAAAUGCGGCAGCAAUUCAAAUUAAAGCGAGAUAAGUAAACCCUUCUCAAGAGAACUACAGUUUAAAUACUGUAGUACAUUCAAUCCCAGCCAUCAGUUCGAAACAGGUGAACGGCUGAGAUCGACCACAGAAACCAUAACACUUGCAGUUAUUUUCCACUUCACAAACGAUUCACAUCCACCGUCAGAUCAACCCACGUGCCACGCAAAGAUUAUAUCAGGCAAUAAGUGCGUCAGUUGCCAUAACUGCACAGCUAGCUGCUCGAGGAAAAUCCUCCACUUCCCCGUAAGAGCGCCAUGAUUAGUGCAGACAAGCCUGCAUGACUGCCACGUCACCAAAUUCAAAAAGCAAAAUACAAAUCAGCAUCGAUAAGAGUCCUUAGUCUUUUCAGCUCGACUUUUACAGUCGACCUAAAAAGAGGGGGCUUAUGUAGGGGUACUACAUACUCCAACCAAUCAAAAACAGCCACGUGGCACAGUCAUUCAUCCAUCAGGUCGCCACGAUCUCUACCUGAUAGCAGCUCGACCACAACAGCUCAAUCUCAUAACGAGCAACGGCCUGCUUAUACACACGUGCUCUCAUUCAAUGCACAGAAUAUUCUCGUCAGUUACAUAAUUAAUUCACAGGGAUGAUCCUCGCGCGUUACACAAUUAAUCCUCAUUAUGAUGACGGAGAAUCUGCAAGAUCCACGAUCCACGCCUUUCUACCUCCUAUAAGAACAGAACUACGAUGGCUUGAUCUCUAAGUUCAAUCCCCUCGAGCUAAGAGUACGUAGGCAAUCUCGAUCUCAACGAGGUGCAGCCACCCCGACCUAAAACUUCCCCUUUGGUCAAGUCUCCCAGCGACCUGACCUAGUAGUGCAUUAAUCUAGAAAUAGGUUAAUACAUAAGCUUUUUUUACUAUGCUUUUUUGUGUAUAUCUCUCAUGGUUUGGGUUACUUUUUUUGCUACACUUUGUCAUAAAUCAAGCCUUGAUUUUGAAAAUAUUGCUUGAAAUCUUGAUUGGGGUAUAGGUUUUCUCAAUUCUCUAUUCAGAAUUCUGUUUAUUAGAAAUAUAUUAUUACAAGUAUGAAUAGUUUCAAGUAUGAACUGAUUUGGUGACUUAACCUUUAUACUUGAAUCUGCAUGAUAAAAUUAUCUUAGGUUUUAAAUGAAAAUUGGCUUGUAGAGCAUAGAUUUUAGCUUAUUACCUUGAAUUUUAAUUAUAGAAUAAUCAAUUUAUUCAAUGAACAAUAUUUUUUUUUUUUUUAUUAAUUCUACUAGUAUGGCUAACUCCACUGAGGAAGAACGGAUACGGGAAGUUGUAGUUGUUGGGGCUGCCAAUGUUGCGCGUUUGGCAAUGAUAAUUACAACCCAAUUUUUAUUCCAUCAGAUACCCAAAGAACCUUGUAUGAAUUAUGUUAGCGAGAGGAACACGUACAUGGACUCUGUUUUGAAAAGAGAUCAAAAAUGUAAAUCUAACUUGCGAAUGAGAGCAGAUGCUUUUCGUCGCUUAUGUUCUUUGAUUAGGGGAAAAAAAACUUUUGGAAGAUACAAGAAACUGUGAAGUGGAAGAAAUGGUGAUGAGGUUCUUACAUCUAAUUGGGCAUAAUGUCAGACAUAGAGUUAUUGAGAGUAGGUAUUAUCGAUCCCUUGAAACGAUCAGUCGACAAUUUAAUGAAACACUUGAUGCAAUUCUGAAAUUAUACCCAUGCUUAGUAGCUGACCAUGGAGAAGCUACACAUAAUGGAGGGACUCCAUCUCAAAUUCUUAAUGACAUUCGAUAUGAGAAAUACUUCAAGGUAAAAUUCAUCUUUGUAAUUUUCACUUACACUACCUUGUAUAACAUAAUCAUACAAGACAUUUUUUUUUUUUUUAGAAUUGUUUGGGAGCUCUAGAUGGGACACAUAUUGUUGCUACUGUUCCUGGAGAUGAAGUGGAAAGAUUUAGAAGUGGAAGAAAAAGUUUUACUUCUCAAAAUGUAUUAGCCGCAUGCUCGUUCGAUUUAAAGUUUACUUAUGUUCUUGUGGGGUGGGAAGACACAACACAUGACCAAAGGGUUUUAGAUGAUGCUCGUACUAGACCUAAUCCAUUUUGUAUUCCCCAAGGUAUAUAUCUAAAUUUUAGUUGAUGGUAUUGUGCAACGAUAAUUUAAUUUAUAACAAUAUUAAUAAUGAAUUUAAUUUUUUAGGUAAAUACUAUUUGGCUGACAUGGGAUACUGUUGCGAACCUGGAAUCUUAACUCCAUAUCGUCUUACAAGAUAUCAUUUAAAUGAAUAUAGUUCUGAUCGACCUCCUGAAAAUGAUAAAGAACUGUAUAAUAAUCGACAUUCAACACUUCGAACUGCAAUUGAGAGGGCUUUCGGGGUAAUUGAAAAAACGUUUUCCAAUGCUAUCCACUGACUCACAUUAUUCAUACAAAACACAAACAAAGAUAGCAAUGGCGUGGUUCGUGAUCCAUAACCACAUAAUGGGUGUUGAUCCAAUUGAAGAUCCGUUUAUCGUUGAAAUGAAUGAAGAAGAUCAAAACCCAUCCCCCGAAGAUGAUGAUCAUCCAAGCAGCUCAGAUAGAGCAUCAAAUUCAUUUAGGGCUGAGCAAGCUCGUUGGCUGCAAUUUAGAGAUUCUACGGCUAUAAAGAUGUUUUCUGAUUAUAAACGAAGAAGAUAUGUACAUAACGAUCUUUAGGAAAGUUGAUGUUUAUUCCAAAUGAGUGAUUGAUUUAGUUUAGUAUUAAUUCUUCAGAUUGCAAGUGUUUAGGUAGAUUGUUUUUUUUUUUGUAAUGGUAUGAUUAAGUUGUUAUGUUUUUCAUUAGAUAUGAAUUUAUUUUACUUGUUUAUUUUAAUCUUUUUUUUAUUGUUUUUUUUUCUUUCUUGCUAAUCCAUUGCAUUUCAUCGUAGCCAUGGAUUUUAAUAACUUGGCACAAAGAAUGGACAAGGGAAAGAAACCAGACCAGAAUGAUUUUGAACAAAAGAUGGACAUGAAAAGAAAGCAAAUUAACUGGACUCGUGCAAUGGAUAAUGUCCUCAUUGAUACCUUCCUUGAUGCAUUCCAACUAGGAAAGAAACAAGGUCGUGGGAGGAGUCAGUUUAUGUCUCAAUCAAAUCAGUUGUCCUUACUAAGUGCCAUGAACAUAUUGAAAAAAAUCAUGUAGUUAGUCGGGUGCGCACAAUGCGAAGUGAGUUCAACUCUUUCAUGGAUUUGAAGUCGAGAAGCGGAUUUGGGUGGGACCCAAUUAAACAAACAAUUGAUGCUCCAGAUGCAAAAUGGGAUGAGCUCCUAUCUGAUCCUGUGAGUUUGAAUUUUUAUUUUAUUUUUUCUAUAAAAGUAAAAUUUGAUUAAUCAACUCUCAAAAAUAAACAUUCCUGAACAGUAUAUUGUAUGUACACAAAAAAAAAGCAUAGCAUGUCUGGUUUCCUAAUAUGGUUAUGAAAAUGUUUGUUUAGUUUUUUUUUUUAGUUUUUUUAGAUUUGUUUUUUUAUUAUUUAUUUUUAUCAAAGUUAAAAUAUAUUCUCACCAGUACUACAAGAGAAUUACAAAGCCUGGUCAGCAACAACUUGAACCCAUUUUAAGGUUUUAGUGGAUAUUGCAUGAAUAUUGCUCCUAUAUCUAGUUUUUAUUCAAUGAAGUGAUUUUUUAUUUGAAAAUAUUAACACAUAUAAUUGAAGCUCUUACACAGAUUAUCCAUGUGAUAUAGUUCCAGUAGUGAAUCACAUGACAUACAUAUAUACUUUCUCUUUUUGCAGAAAAGUAGAGAGAAGUUUAAGGGCUUUCGAGAUAGGGGUCCAAAGUGGCCUCUUGAACACUUGGCCAUUAUUGUUGGUAAUACUUAUGCAACAGGAUGUAAUUCAUUUGGAGGCCUGGAUUCUAUUGAUCUGAAUAAGAUAGAUGGUAUGCCUGACUUGCCUGCUAAUGAAAUAAUUGAUCUAGAUGACAUUGAAGACACAAAUGAAGCUGGAAAAAGAAAGGCGUCGACCUCAACCUCAACCUCAAAGAAAAGGCAACAUGGAAAGAAAGCACGACCAAUGGAUGUAGUGCCUGAAUUGGUCCAUAAGAUGACUGAUGAAAUGAUCAAUCUUAGAAAGUCUAUUGAUCCAGCAGCACGUGCUGAAUACGUUCGUGAACAAGUAAUGGCAGUUGAAGGUUUCACUAAGCCUUAUUUGAGGAAGGCUUAUGUUUUCAUUAUGAGGGACCCUAUUGAGAAAGAAAUAUUCAUAGGUGGUGAUUCAGAGAUCAGGAAGGACAUAUUAGAGAGUCUCCGUCCAAAAAUUGAGAAUGUCUAAAUGCAGAUUUUUUUUUUCUUUGUAGAAAUCUUAGUUUAGGUAGCAUUUAUUUUAUUCGUUUGGUUAUUUGAUAGACAUUAUUAUAAGAUUGGUUAUUAAUAUCAUAUUUUUUUAUAGUUUAUUCGAUGUUUUCGAAAAUAUGUAUUACUAUUAUGGCAAUUGUUCAUGUUAAACGAAUUAAAAAAAAUGAAGAUCAUAAGGUUUUUUUUAUUGAUUUUAUCUUGCAUUUAAUUGUUAUAACUAUAUAGACAAAAAAAAUGAAUUAAAUCAAAAAAUACAAUUAUUUGCAUUGCUCUGAACCAAUCAAGUUAUUUUCACUUGCAUGUGUUUGCAAUGUAGCAACCAAUCAACAACAGAUAAGUCACAAAGUGGGUAACUGCAAUACAAUUCCAUGCCAUUGCGGUUAUUUGUAAAUUGCACCCACUUGUAGUGAACCAAGCAGAGCCUGAAGUUAGGGGGGGAGAUGAUGGAGUUUUGUUUUUUUAAGGGGGAUGUGUAUACUGUUUAGGAUAGAAGAAAAAGUAAAAGAAGUUAUGGUUUUGCCACGUGACACAAUAUCUAACCUUGGAUUUAGUCCAACAAUGAAGCAUUGACAUGUGGAGAGAAAAAAAUUCAGUUUUUAAAAUUUAAGUUAUGUCAUAUGAAGGAUAGUUUGGACAUUAAAAAAAUAUGGAUGGUUGGACUCAAGUCAACUGUGUUGACUAAUAGUCAAGUAACGAUUUUAGGACCAUUUGCUAAUAAACCAAAAACUUUGGACCACAAGCUAAUUAGCUAUCUUCUAGAUGGACCAAAUACAAAAUAGCCCUGAUGAAUAUUUAUGAACUAAGAGAUGUUGAGAGUGUGGCAUGCAUUGUUAUUCAGCAAGGAGUUUCGAAGAAAUCAAGGAUAUAUGAGUCUCUUGCUCGGAAUCCAGCCCCAAAACUUGAGGAUUUGUAUUUCAUGGUUGAAAAAGAAAUCAAGGUGGAAGACUGCAGGAUCGCGGACUGAGUGAAUGAAAUGAGUGAGAGAGUUAAUACUGUCGCAUCAAAGAAGGACUUUGAUAGGAAAGAAGGGAGAAGAGAUGAUAAGAGGCAGAGAAGUGAUGGACGAAAAUUUGAACGUCGAGAUCAGAGACGAAGGUCUCCACCACGAUAUACUCCUCUGAAUGCAUCUUAUGAGGAAAUCUUAAGGACUAUUCAGAAUGAAGAUUAUUUUCCUCCAUCGCGGAAACAUUACGAAGAUCGUCCUAGAAGGCCAUAUUAUGAGUAUUACAAAUGUCAUGAUCACCCAACAAAUGAUUGUUUUGCUUUUCAGCGAGAAGUUCAAGGAUUAGUUGACAAAGGUUACUUAAGAAAGUUUGUCAUGAAAAUAGAAGAAGUGGAAAAGGAACCUUGCAGGGCACCAUCUCCACCUCUGGGAAACCGUAAACGUAAUCUUUGGGGAAGUUGAGAUUAAUAAUGAACAUAGACAGAAAAUCCAAAAAACUGCAUAUCUUCAGGAGGUCAUGUCAAUUUGUUGUGAAGCUCGUCCUGUAGAAAAUUCUAUGAUUCCAUUGGGGAAGGGCUCCAUCGUUUUUUCCGACUCAGACUUGAAAGGAGUGCAUAAACCUCAUGACGAUGCCUUGGUGAUUUGGUUGACUAUAGCAAACUGGACAGUGAAGAGAAUACUUGUUGAUGGUGGAAGUGGUGUGGAUAUUUUGUUCAAGUCAGCUUUGGAUGAAAUGAAGAUUCCACCAGAUGCAUUAUCGGUAGCAAGGAAUAAUAUUUUUGGAUUCAAUGGGUCAAUGACAAAACCGGUUGGUGAAAUAAUUCUACCUGUUCUAGCAGGAAAAAUUCAGGUAUUAACAAGGUUUGUUGUAAUUGAUACUCCAUCAGAAUACAAUGCAAUAUUAGGUCGCAGAUGGAUUCAUCAAAUGAAAGCAUUCCCAUCCACAUAUUAUCAAAUGAUCUGAUUUCUUACUCCAGAAGGGCCAUAUGAAAUUCGAGGAGAACAAGUUGUGUCACAAAAGUUGGAAAAUAGUACAGUGAAGGCGAUGAAGAAACUUAACUUGGUAGCUAGAAAUCAGGGAAAUGGCGAUCUGCCAUUCUCCAUGGUUAAUAAAUAACAAUUACAACAUGCAAGUCCUUCUCCAAAAAAUAAGUCUGAAAUUGCAAAAACUGUAGAAGAUGUGGAAGAAGUGGACCUGGGAGAAGGAGGUGAGAAGAGAACCACCUUUAUUGGAAAUGUUUUGAAUGACCUUGAAAAAUUGAUUUGAUAAAGUUUUUAUAUGAAAAUAAGUAAGUAUUUGCAUGGUCUUUUGGGGAUAUGUCUGGAAUUGAUUUGAAUGUAACUGCACACCACUUAAAUGUGAAUCCGAAUGCGAAACCUGUAGGGCAGAAACAAAGAAAGGUGAGGCCACAAUUGGUAGAUGCGCUGAAUGAAUAAAUUCGAAAGAUGAAGGAUAAUGGAAUAAUAAGAGAGAUCAGGUAUCCGAAAUGGGUUGCUAACAUAGUGGCAACAAUGAAGAAAACAUGAAAAGUCUGUGUAUGUAUUGAUUUCAGGGAUUUGAAUCAAGCAUGUCCAAAGGAUAAUUAUUCAAUGCCAAGAGUAGAUCAAUUGGUGGAUAAAAUGUCAAGGUUUGAGUUGUUAUCUUUCAUGGAUGGUUACUAGGUUUAUAAUCAAAUAUCUAUGUAUCCAUCUGAUGAAGGAAAAACAACUUUUUAUACUGAAGAGGGGAUAUUUUGUUACAAGAAAAUGCCGUUCGAUUUAAGAAAUGCAAGUGCGACAUAUCAAUUUAAGAAAACAAUGGAGGUCUAUAUCCUCCCUUGUUUAUCACAAAUCCUCAAAUGUUGGCAAAUAUAUUCAAAAUUUUGACACUAAAAGUCUAGACCAAAUUAUUUAUCACAAAUCUUCAAAUAUUGGCAAAAAUUUAUAGAAAAAUAGAUAUAUUCGUCAAAAUUUUCAUGAUUUUUUUGUGAUUUUUUCUUACCUAUGUAAUCAAAGUAUCAAACCAACAAAACAAUAUGUACAUAGGUUCAUUCACACAAACCCGGAGCGUAGCCCACUCUCUUUAAAACCCAACACGAACGAAGCCCAAUCUGUUUAAACCCAAAAACCUAUCAGCUAGUGAGCGGUGAGCCAGCCACCUCUCUCUCUAUCUAGCUCUGCGCCUCCACAUCAAACCAGCGACCUUCUUUCUUCUAAAACCAACAAAUUGAAACUUGAGUUUCAUCAUUAUUAAUUUAUGGAAUUUUUUCUAACAAAAAUCAAAACUUUACAAGAAAAAAAAAGAAAGAACUCCCAACAAUCAACAGAAACUCAGAUCUAAGUUUAGGGUUUAACGCGAUUUUAUUCUUCUUGAUCAUCUCUUGAUGAAUGAUUGAAUAUCGCCUUUUAUCUUUAUCAAAGUUAACCAACCAUGGCUUCUAAAGGUCCUAGGUCUAAACUUGACCAUGAAACUAGAGCUAAACGACAUAAGGUUUGUGUGAUUCUUUCCAUCUUUAUUAUCUUUUUUAUUUUUUCUAAAAUUAUUUCAUUUGAAUGUAUAUGUUUGAAACCCAUUUAUAAUUUUGAAAAAAAAAAAAAAAAAAUGAGCAAGAGAGUUGUAAACUCCAUUAAGUUAGACUACAGUCACUAUAUAAUAUUCCUUCGCGAAGCUGAAACUGUUGUCUGAUGAAUUUGUUUCUUUAAAACUUCGUUGCGUUCCUCAUUUCACAUGGUAUGCGUAUGUGUAUGAUUUUUUAUUUUUAUUUAUUUAGAUGAAAUCACAUUUAACUCUAGAAAGACUAGGUUGCCGUUUGUCAACUAAAAAUAAACCAUGAAGAAAUUUUGUGAAAGUGGUUUUUGACAUACCACCCAAAUUUUACAUUCCAAACAGACUUUCUCCUUUCCUACUUUUGGAAAGUUAAGAAAUGCAUUUCUGGAUCUUUGUCGAACAGACUAUAAGCUGGUCUGAAGUCAUGUUAAAGUUAGGAGUUCAGAGAGGUCCAUAUCAUAGAUUUUUGUGUUUGGUAGUCCGAAUUCCAACAGCUAAAAUGAAACUAUUUGCUGAGUCCUAUAUAUAUAUAUAUAUAUAUUUUUUUUUUUUGUACUUCUCUAAAAGGGAAAAAGUUGAGAGGUGUAUAUCAGUACUGUGUGUGGCAAGUUUAUCAUUGAUCAUCAACUCAUCAUUGUUGUACUAAUUUAUUGCUUUGUAGUUGCUAAUUGAAAAUUAAUUGAAUAAUAGAAUCCUGAAUGGUGACUAUUUUUUCAAAUGAUUUGUUUCGAGUUCAGUUCAUUAACUUCACGAUUUUGAUCUCUAAUGGUUUUUAAAUUGUAUUGUAGGCACUUGAAGCUCCUAGAGAACCUCGUCGCCCAAAAACACAUUGGGAUUAUGUAUUGGAGGAGAUGCUUUGGUUGUCAAAGGUUUGUUUAUUGUUUGUCUGAUUCUGAGAUGUAAAGUUUUUCUUUAUGUAUCUUGUCUUCCAAGCGCUUGUAUCUUAUUUUUGGAUUGGUUUAGAGGGGUCUUGGCAUCUAUAAACUUGAAGUUUCAAGAUUUCCUUGUUUUGUAAGGAAUGGGAUUUAUGUGAAUAAGGAUUGGUAUGGUAUUGUGUGCCAUUAGUUCUUUACUCAUGUCAAAGCCCAAGCUUAUAAUUCGCAGUUGUAAUGGAAGACAUGUUUUAUUAAUAAAAAACACACUUAUUUACCAUUGAUGUAUGUCAGCUUGCAAAUGUAUUUGUGAUACAUUAUGCUGUUUCCUUAACUUGGUGAGAUAUUGGUUCACAGGACUUUGAGGCAGAAAGGAAAUGGAAACUAGCUCAGGCAAAGAAGGUUGCAAUAAGAGCCAGCAAGAAUGCAUUAGACCCAGCUACAAGAGGAGAAAAGAAAGUGAAGGUUUGAUUUCUUUGUGAACAUUUUUACUCAAAACGACGAAAAAUAAGUUUUGAACUACAUUGCUUAAUCGUGUAUUGUUUGACUGAAAUUCAGGAAGAAGAACAGCGAUUGAGAAAAGUUGCAUUGAACAUUUCUAAGGACGUGAAAAAAUUUUGGAUGAAAAUAGAGAAGCUGGUAAGUCAAUUGUUCACUAAGUAACAUUAAUACUGGUGCGUGUGUCGUGUCUGACACGGGUACGGAGUAUCCGACAUGGCGAGAUAUCAAAAAAUAAGAGGUUUCUAAGCUAAAAUUAUGUAUCCAUGUAUCCUUGUGUCCGUGUAUCCGACACGGGUACGAGUGUACGACACAUGUUUUAUAGAAUUUGGAGUACCCAUGUUACAUAGAUUGUUCAUGACCUUGAGAUCACCCAAAAUUAGAUCUCUCAUUUGGCUGCCCUAAUUUUCUGAAAACAUAUGUUUCUUGGACAAAUUAUGUUGCAGGUGCUUUACAAGCAUCAGCUGGAGCUUGAGGAAAAAAAGAAAAAGGCACUGGAUAAGCAGCUCGAUUUUCUUUUAGGACAGACUGAAAGGUAGAAACAUUACCUUAUUUUAUAUCUAUAUUAGUGAUUCGUACGCAUAGUUUGAAAGUCAUAUGCAUAGAAACUUGGAGGACUUGUUUUUGUUUCAGGUACUCAACAAUGCUAGCAGAAAAUCUUGUUGACAUGCCAUCUCCUUGUAAACCAGUGUGUCCAGAUUCUGCUAUGGAACAACCGACUGACCAGGAUAAAGAAGAAGUAGGAGCUGAGGUUGUGGAAAGCCCAGAACUUAAUGGUAGUAAAUGUGAUCUAUAUCAUCUCAGUUACUUGCUUUCACCUUACAUCCUUGAGAGGAUGACAUAUAUUGAUAUAUAUCAUGCAGGGCUUUCAACAGAUGAUAUGGAUAUUGACGGUGAUUAUGAUAUACAACCUGAAGAUGAAUUGGUGAGCUUCAUUUCUCUUGGUAUUUUCUUCUCUUGUCUAAGCAGUAUAAUGACAUCCAAUAGGUAGACUAGUAGAAAGCAAUCUUAUAUUGGAACAAGGGAAACCAAAUAACUGAGACAUGGAUAGUGGUUUGUUGAAUUAUGUACACCUUUCCUUUUGGAGAAGAACAUGUCACUGGGGGGACAUAGCCUCAUACGUUACCUGUGAGUAAAUCUCAGGAUGUCAUUGGUCCUGAAUCUGAUUCAGGUCAACAUACUGAACAUGGAUCCGACCUAUUUUCUGGUUUUUGUUACGUUUUUUUCCAAUGCCAGAAAUAUCGAUUCAGGAUGGCUCGGAACUGGGUCAAAACCCAGGCCAUUUGCGUCCUUUCCUGAUAUAUCUUUAUGAAUGUUCUCAUUUCGUUCAUUUGCUUUGCACGAAAUCUGAUUGUAUGGUUGUUAAACGUUAGUUGGUGUUCACAUGUGUCACUCAUGUUUAACUGGUGGAAUUGAUUUGUUGUAAUUGUUUAUUUAGAUUUUAGGUAAUAAAAUAUAUUGACUUAAUAUUAAUGUAUAAAUAAUCAUUUGAAUUUAGUAAAACAUAUAGGCAUAUAUGGAAUUGUAUUAUGGUAUUAUUAAUUUGCUAUAGCACUGGUAAAAAUUAUGUCAUCUUACUUGCUAUACGCUGCUCUUGCAGUCUUACUUGCAGAUUGGAAAACUACGUCAUCUUUAAACUGUAUGCAUUUGACUAGAGAAUUGCACAUGACAUGAUAUUAUAUCAAGGGAUGAAAACCUUGUUUAGUGCAGGCCUCAAGAUAUUACAAGUAGAAAAUUUUAAGAAUCACAUGUACAGGUGUGUAUAAUGAAAUAUGGAACCAUAAACAUUUAUUGAUUUGAUUGACUUACUAUGAUAUUACUGAAAACACCAACGAAAGAAUAACCUUGAUGAAAACUGUGUGGUUUCACACCAACGAAAGAAUAUGAGGCAAUCGUCUUGUACAAAUUUCAAAAUUUUGAUGUAAUUGGCCAUACUAUAUCUAUAUAGUAAAACAUAUAAAACCUCUCAUUCUUCGAACUGGAAGAUACCUUGUGGAGUCUUGCAUGGUAGGGUCGUUGCUCAAAUAUAGAAUUCUCUUCUCUAAAUCUAAGCACUGUACAAAAUGCCUUCCAAACUUCAUAAAAUGCACAUAGCUUGUGGGGAAGCACAUGAUUUUUAACAAAAUUGCAAGGGUUGGAUUACUAUGAGGAUUUCCAGUAUGGCAGUACUAUUUAGGGUCAGAAUUGUGCAAAAUUCCAGUUUAUGAAGAAAGUGAAUAUUUUGUAAUUUGGCUAAGUGAAAAGCUCCCUUAUGGUAUAUGCUGCUUUGUUCAGGAUGACGAUGAGCAUACUAUUGAGGAAGAUGAGUCUCGCAUUACUGCCGAUGAAAGGCAGGCGGAAUUGGAAGCCUUGCAAGAUGAAAUGGAUGAACCACUUGAGGAGGUACUCAAGCGUUACAGUUCGCAAACAGGUAUACAUAAGUGGUUUAUGAUGGGUUUACUUUCGGUUUAUGGGAAUGAAACCAAUAGCUGAACAAACCCAAGAGAAACACUUUUGUAUCUUUAUUGCAAAUAUAUGUGAUAUGAUAAUUGAUGUACUUAUCUAUGCACUUGUUCUUUCAGUUAGCAACGAAGGAAGUCCAUCAAAUGAUGAAUACAUAGCUGAACAGACCCCAAAGGAAGAAAAUCUGACUGAGGGUGAGAAGAAACAGCUGCAUUUUUCAUGGAGAGCGACAUGAUUGUUGUGAACUUUCAGUUUUACUGGACCUAUUUAAUGUUAUUUUAAAUUCUGUGGGAUGAUGGACACUGAACUUUUCUACAGGUACGGGAAACGAUCUUUUUGUUGGGGAUACAGGUGUCUCUUACUCAACUAGUCAUCAAACUGUAAGUUGCAUCAUUUUCAAGGUUACUGUAGAGUGUAGAAUAAAACCUGUAGUAAGCUAGAUCACUUUAACACUUUUGUUUAUGACCAUAGGAAGCAAGUAAUGGCAACAUCCGCAGUCCGGACAACUACAAAGCAGAAAUUGAUUUACAUCAAGCCAAAAAUCAGUUGAAAGAAUGCAAAAAUUCAGAGGAACAAGCUUUGCUAUCUUGCAAUGAUGAACAGGUGAGAAAUUCCUCUAUUGAUUUAUUUUAAUAUUCUAAAUCUAGGUUUUGAUUUGUCAUACAUUAUGUCUUUGACUGAGCAGUGUAAUGUAUUGAUACUUAAAAGACUUAUUUUCCUCAUUUCAGCCAGAAGAUAUUUCUCUAAACAAAUGGAAUGUAAGAUGUCCAUUAAUGUAUUUAGAACUUUUACCCUAUGAAUGGCACAUAUGAACUAAUUAUCCACUGAGAAAGAGUAUUGUGAUUUUAAUCUGUGCUGCAGCCUUCAGCCUAUCUUAUUAUUUCAUGUGCAAAUUUCUUUUUAUGUUUCUGGCGACAUUCUUAUGUAGUGGUUUCUAAUUAUUGUGUGGGGUGAGGUCCUCCCCACCCAUCUUAUCUUGCUGUUAAACUUGUUUAAAAUCACAAAUAAAAUUUCUAUCUUGCCUCUUGUCGUUUUUUUUUUUCUUACUAAAUUGCACAAGAAAUAAGUUUUUCAGUUUUUGAACCGGUGAAGUGUAAAACCCUUUUUUUUUAUUGUUGUUACUAUUUUGAUUGGUAAGCCACAAAUUUUAUAAUUGGGUGUAAUAGAGUGAACACACUAACUCCCAGCUUACAAGUUACAUCAACUAAUGACUGUUACAAAGAAGUCCCGCCUAGUACAAUGAAAAGUACAAUGAUUGGGUUCCCCACAUGACAUGUAGAGAGAUUGACUGAUUCCACUCUAACCACACCUCCCCAGAGAACAUGAUAUGAGAAAGACUUUGCACGCAUACUUCCCAAGUAAAGACAGGUUCCUGCCUCCUCAAUUUCUAAGAAUGGCCUUGAUGGAUACCUUAUCAUCAGAUCAUUGCCAUUUGAAUUCAGGAAGCAAUACUACUAUGUGGGAUGAGUUUGUUUACCAUAUAACCUAUAUUGUUUCCUUAUUAAAUGUGAGUUAGAAUACUCUCUAAUUGUAGGCUGAUUAUGAGUCUCUAAAUUUUUCUACUGUAUUGAGUUCACAAAAUCCUAGUAUGACAUGUUUCAACAUUUUUUAAGCUCUGUUUUAAAAAUUACCUUUGUGAUUGGAAGAUGCUAGCCUAGAAUGCUAUAAUUACAAACCAGAAAUUAGUUCACUUUUCAUGGUCAUCCACUAUUUUGUCCAAAUUUCAUUUGGUCACUGCUGACUGCUCUAUACCCUGGUGGUAUAUAAAUUCCUUUACAUGUCAAGAGGCGUUUAUGACAUGCCAAAACCUGUAUCUGCUUCUGCAUGUUAGAAUAACAAAAAAAGUCUCCAUAUUCGAUGUACGUUAUUAUUAAUAUGUCUUCCAAAUUUUUACAGGAGGAUGGGGAUUAUAUUCUUGCGGCUGAGAAAGAAAAGGUAAUAGCGUUUAGAGAAUUCUAGAUUUAUUAAUUGAUCAUUUGUUGAUUUAUCAGUCUCAUAUUUAUUCUAAAGCAUUCUUUUUGAGUAUAUUAAUGUAUGGUAUUGUCCUUUAAUUGAAAUGGUAAGAAGUUUGAACCCACCUCAAAAAAUGGUAAGAUGCUAGAGCUUUUCCUUUGCUCUGUAGCUCCAACUACAUCUUUUGAAAUGAGAUAAAACUCUAGAUAAUACUUCCAGACUAAAUUAUAAUAUAUAUUGUUUAAGUUGCAAAAUUAUAAUGUGUUGGAUCUUGGAAAUAUGUUACAAAAGAUCUACUAAGAGCAGAAAAGGGACUUACAAAGUUCCAAUUCUAAUUAAUAGCUUUGUUGGUGUGAGGGAGCAUGGAUUUGUCUUCAUUUAUUUUGUUUGUUUGUUUUAUUUUCCUGGGUGAAAAUCUAUAUUUUAAAUUUACUUCCUCUUUCUCUCAGCAAGUAUAAUUUUUGGGGAUUGCAGUGUCUAAGCUUGUAUGUACAUGCAUGUCCUUCUAUUUUAGUCAAAAUUUUGGCUCGCCAACUAGUUUCAGAAAAAUUUACAAGCAGAUUACAGAAAAAAUGAUUUCACUCAACCUAAAGCAACUACAAUACAUCUCGCGUAGCCAGUUGUUUAAUGUUGUGUUUUUCACCCGUUUUUUUUCUUUAAUGGUGACAUGGAAUUUCCAUUAAUGUCUGGCUACAAAUGACUUGUGUCCCUCCUACCCCUCUAUUACCAAAAUAAUAAUGGAAGGAAGGUAAUGUGCAUGAUUAAUUACAAAAAGUUGCCAGAGAUUUUACACUAUCAACGCUUCCCAAUUUCACCAAACUUCAUAUAAAUUCCGAAAUCCCACCCUUCUAAAGUCAACAUGAGGUAAUCAAUAACUUGCAUGCAGAUCACAGAAAAAUGGGUGCAGGAGAGCAACUCAAAUAUAUCUAGCGUAGUCAGUUAACCCUUUUUCUUUGGCGGUUGGUAAAAUCUAAUCUAUACUACUAUUAUAGACCUGAAUAAAAUUCAGAGGUAAGUCCCGGUUAAUGAGAAUUGAGCUUUAGAAUUUUGUCACAUAAUUUUGACUAAAAUACCCUUUUAGUCAUGGUUUUUUGGUAAAUUUAGAUAAUACCCUUUAAAUAAUGGUUUUAUUGUAAUUUAACAUAUUUUUAUUUAUGGACUGGAUUUUUAUUUAUAAGCAAAAGGUCCAAUAAAUAAAAAAAAUAAUUAAAUAAAAAAAAAUAUAAUGAACUCCUAUAAAAUAUUAAGAAAAACUACCUAUAUUUACUUAAGAAAUAAUUAUUUCAUAAGAUUUAAUAAAUUAGUGUAAUUUGUAAUAUUUAAUAAAAGUAAUAACUUAAAACUUGAAUGGUAAUUGGAAAUGGAUAAAUUAAAUUUAACCGGUGGGUAGCACCGGCUAAGACACUAGUUCAUUGAUACAAGCAAAACAUUACAUCAAGAAGAAGCCCAUGUGGAGAUCAGCAAGAAACUAAUCUCCCACAACGUUGAUAUACUACUGCUAUCUUUACUAGUAUGAUGUACCAUUACUAAGCAAAAGAAAAGGUUCUUUAUCUCAAUUCCCCUUAUCGUUUUCUCGCUGAAUGCUCCAGCUGAUAGCUAAUGGGACAGUUUCCACAAGAUCUAUUUACCACACUUAUUUUCCUUGAGAUCAAUAAGAAAAGAAUGUGCUAUACAUUUAAGUCAACAAUCAGUUUAAGAUUUUCUCAACUAGUCUCCAAGAAAGAAAUACAACAAUGCCUGAUGGACAAGGUUGUCAAAGUGGACCAAAAGAUUAUUAAUUGAUUUAUCAUGAUUUGCACAAUCUAUAUUUUCUCCAAGAGAAUGGACGUUAGCUUUAAAAAGUGGAAUGUGAUUGGUCUGACAUAUACUUAAAUGUGUAGAACUGGUUAAAAUCUAUGCUAACCUUACGUAGUGCUCAGUUUUUGAGAAGAUCAUUGUGCUUGGUCUAAUAUAUGCUUCAUAAUGAUCUUUUCAUAUUGAAGGAAGGCUUGUUACGGUUAUUAUAGUUGGUCUGAUAUCCAUGUCUACUCCUAAUCUGAAAUUGAAUAUGAAGGAUGAUGAAGGAACCUUGUCAGAGGAGGAAGAGAUGGCGAAGGAUGAAGGAGAGAAUCCCUUAAAUGAGGUAAAAUUAUAACAAUAUGUUAUUCCAUUAUAAGUUUCGGUUAUAUCAAUGUCAAAUUGCUGGCUAGGUUGUCUUUUUUUUCAUAGUUUCUUUGAUUUCGCGUAUUUGUUUCUUUAGUUCUUCUUAGUACUGAAGGAAGCUGCUAUUUCACAGAUUGAACUACUGAAGAAAGAGAGUGAAAUGUCUGUAGAAGAAUUGCUUGCAAGGUAUACUCAGGUAAGUUGUAAUUGAGAAAACUAAAUUUAUGUUCGUAUAAAUAUCUGCAAUCGUGAUUUUCAUCUAUGGUUGACCUCUGUUUGCCAGGACUUCAACUCUGAUGAGGAUUUUGAUGAUGAACCAUCUUCUCCAUCAACCAGUUCAGAGGAUCUGGCGGAAUCUCCAAGAACACAAAGUACUGAGCGGGAAAGGCAAGAUUCUCCUAUGAAAGAUGUUGCAGUUGAACAUGAUGAACCUGAUGAAUUCAAGCAAAUUUCAAACCCUGAUGAAAAUUUGAGAGAAGUGGAACCUGAGAUGAAAUCUGAUGAAAGUAAAGAGAACGAGGAUAGAAUUGCUAAUGCAGCUGCUGCAGCUAGAUCGGCUCAGCCGACUGGCAACACUUUCUCAACCAUGAAAGUGCGUACAACAUCCCCAUUUCUUCUUAAGCACCAACUUCGUGAGUAUCAACAUAUAGGUUUGGAUUGGCUAGUCACGAUGUAUGAUAAGAGACUCAAUGGAAUUCUUGCUGAUGAAAUGGGCCUGGGGAAGACAAUCAUGACCAUUUCUCUUCUAGCACAUCUAGCUUGUGAAAAGGGAAUAUGGGGCCCCCAUCUCAUAGUUGUACCAACCAGUGUCAUGCUCAACUGGGAGACAGAAUUUCUUAAAUGGUGCCCAGCCUUUAAAAUUUUGACUUACUUUGGAAGUGCAAAAGAACGCAAGUUGAAGAGACAAGGGUGGAUGAAGCCAAACUUUUUCCAUGUGUGUAUCACUACUUACAGACUUGUUAUACAGGACUCAAAAGCUUUUAGACGUAAGAAGUGGAAAUAUUUAAUUCUUGAUGAAGCUCAUCUGAUAAAGAAUUGGAAGUCCCAGAGAUGGCAAACUCUUCUAAAUUUCAAUUCGAAGAGGCGGAUCUUACUGACUGGUACACCUCUGCAGAAUGACCUAAUGGAACUCUGGUCUCUUAUGCAUUUCUUGAUGCCUCACAUUUUUCAAUCACAUCAGGAGUUUAAGGAUUGGUUCAGUAAUCCUAUUUCUGGAAUGGUAGACGGACAAGAGAAAGUGAACAAAGAAGUAAUAGAUCGUUUGCAUAAUGUUCUCCGCCCGUUUAUACUUCGCCGUUUAAAAAGGGAUGUUGAAAAGCAACUUCCGGGGAAAUAUGAACAUGUAAUUUUCUGCAGACUUUCAAGGAGGCAGCGGAAUUUGUAUGAAGAUUUUAUUGCUAGCUCUGAGACACAAGCAACUCUUGCAAAUGCCAAUUUUUUUGGGAUGAUUAGUGUGAUUAUGCAACUGCGUAAGGUUUGCAAUCACCCAGACCUAUUUGAGGGCCGUCCAAUCGUAAGUUCAUUUGACAUGAGCGGCAUCGAUUUGAAAUUGAGUUCCUCUAUUUGCAUGAUGCUUUUAUCUGGUCCCUUCUCUUCAGUCGAUCUCAGUGGUUUGGGUUUCCUGUUUACUCAUCUUGAUUUUAGCAUGUCAUCUUGGGAGAGUGACGAAGUUACAGCAAUAAGCACACCUUCAACUUUAAUCAAAGAGCGUGCCAACCUAGAAAGUAUGGAAAUAAUUGGGGCUCGGCAGAGACCUAAUGAUAACAGGAGAAGAGCGCACGGGUCUAGCAUAUUUGAAGAGAUUCAGAAGGCCCUUUGGGAGGAGAGAAUAAAAGAAGCAAAGGAAAGAGCAGAAUCCAUUGCAUGGUGGAAUUCCUUGCAAUGCCGAAAAAAGCCAAUGUAUGGGACCAACCUGAAAGAUACUGUUACUGUAAAGCAUCCUAGUUUGGAUAUCCAUUAUCAGAAAACUAACCCUUCGUGCUACUUGGACUUCUCCUCAAAGCUUGCAGAUAUUGUCCUCUCACCCAUUGAACGUUUUCAGAGGAUGAGUAAGUUGAUUGAAUGUUUCAUGUUUGCAAUACCAGCGGCGCGAGCUCCAUCACCUCUCUGCUGGUGUAGUAAGAAUGAGGCACCUGUGUUUCUUCACUCAUCUUAUAAGACUAAAUGCACAGAAGUUUUGGCACCUCUUCUGUCUCCAGUUCGACCUGCCAUUGUUCGGCGACAAGUAUAUUUCCCCGAUAGACGGCUCAUACAGUUUGACUGUGGUAAGCUUCAAGAGCUAGCAGUUUUGCUCAGACGGUUGAAAUCAGAAGGCCACCGAGCAUUGAUAUUCACACAGAUGACAAAGAUGCUUGAUAUAUUGGAGGCCUUCAUUAACCUGUAUGGAUACACCUACAUGCGUUUAGAUGGCUCCACUCAGCCAGAAGAGAGGCAGACAUUGAUGCAGCGGUUUAACACAAACCCAAAAAUCUUUCUUUUCAUCUUAUCAACUCGUAGUGGAGGUGUUGGGAUCAACUUAGUUGGGGCAGAUACUGUUAUCUUCUAUGACAGUGAUUGGAAUCCUGCUAUGGACCAACAAGCUCAAGAUCGGUGCCAUCGUAUCGGUCAAACACGUGAAGUACAUAUUUAUCGACUAAUCAGUGAAAGCACCAUUGAAGAAAAUAUCUUAAAAAAAGCAAAUCAGAAGCGUGCACUUGAUGAUUUGGUUAUACAGAAUGGAAGUUACAAUACCGAAUUCUUUAAAAAACUUGACCCACUGGAAUUAUUUUCAGGUCAUAGAGAAAUUUCGAUUAAGAGUGUGCAGAGGGAGAAGAACCUUGACCAUGGAGUAGAUAAUCUUCUUUCUAAUGAUGAUGUAGAAGCAGCUUUAAAGCAUGCAGAAGAUGAAGCAGAUUAUAUGGCAUUGAAGAAAGUUGAACAGGAAGAGGCUGUGGACAACCAGGAGUUUACAGAUGAAGCGAUUUUAAGAUUAGAAGAUGAUGAAUUCGUAAAUGAAGACGAUCUGAAAUUUGAUGAGAAGAGCUCUGGUGAUCAAAGUGGCUGGAUUACAGUAGCAGAAAAAGAUGUUGGGACCAGUUUGAAUGGAAUUGAUCAACAUGAAGGGAGGGCUCUCACCAUUCCUGGUAAAGAAGAUGAUUUUGACAUGCUAGCUGAUGUCAAGCAGUUGGCAGCAGCAGCAGCGGCAGCAGGACAAGCAAGCUCCUCCUUUGAGUACCAGCUUCGGCCUAUUGAUCGAUAUGCAAUGCGUUUCCUGGAUCUGUGGGACCCUGUUAUUGACAAAUCAGCUAUGGAAUCUCAAGUCAACUUUAAGGAGACGGAGUGGGAGUUGGAUCGCAUUGAAAAGUUUAAGGAAGAUCUUGAAGCUGAGAUUGAUGAUGACGAGGAACCUUUGAUAUAUGAACGUAAGUACUUUUUACACUUUCGGGAGAAAAUGUUCAUUUAAAAUAUGAAACACCAUUAUUAUGCAUAUAUAUCAGGAGUUAGUAAUCACUGUAUGUUCAUUGUUAAUGAAUAACAUUUUGCCAUGAGAUUAAUUGAUUAUGUGAAACCUAUUGCACAGAUCAAAUAAAUUGGAUUUUGCAUUUGUUUUUGAAAAAUGAGAAAAAACAAUUCAAAACUUGGUCAAGUACAACCCUGCUUUUUUCUUCUUUUAUAUUUCCUCCAAUAAUAUUAAGUGUGUUAUGCCUUAUUGGUAGGAAGUUAUUAGUGGUGUGCAUUUUACAGUCUGAUUGAGACAUUUAAUUCAUCGGUUGUAAUACGUACAAUUCUUGAGUGAAGUUCCAUGGGUGAAAAUGCCAUUGGUUGCAACUUCAACGUUAUUGGAAUGAUGUAACUAUUAAUUAAGCAGUAAAGUAGUGGUUGAACAUCUAUUUUAUAUUGCUAAUCAGUGAGAUUUGGGAUUCAUAAAUUAAUGGAUUUGAAAUGUCAGGUUGGGAUACCGAAUUUGCUACUAAGGCAUACAAGGAAGAAGUUGAGGCCUUAACGCAGCGCCAGGUUUGUGAUUUAAUAUAAAUGGUUUAUACUGCAAUCACAAUCUAGUUGAAUUCUUGAUAAUUUUCAAUGCGCUGUAGUUGUUGGAAGAUCUGGAAUCUGAAGCAAGGGAGGCAGAAGAGACUGCAGAUGCAGAUUGUGAGGCAGCAAGGUAAGAUAAAACGAUGUUCAUUCUUUGUUGUCUCUGAGAAUAUCUCGUGAGAUGAGAAGUUAAUUAUCCUUUGAAUUUUUUUUUUUAUUUUUUUAUUUUUUCUUUUGAUCAGUAGAAAUAAUAUCACAUUUUUCUCCUAUAGUUGGCUUGUGUAUCAAUAUCAUUCAACUUCCUAUUUGCCUUUGUAAGGAAGUAAGGAACCAUUCUAUUUGAGAAUGAGGUCAUCAUUUCCUUAAAUCCUGAAUAAUUUUACAUUUUAGAUAAUCAGUUAAGACAAAUUUUGCAGAUUCAAAGAAAACUUCUCAUUGUUGUAAGCCAUAGUCAUAUGCUCAUUUAUCGUAUUUAAAUUAAUUUGAGCUCCUUUGCAUUAAAAUUUCAUAUGAAUAAAUUAGAGAUGGCAUCAGUGGAGCAUAUAGUGAUAAUAAUCAUUUGGAAGCUGAUUGGUGGGGUAACUAAUACUAUCAAGCUGACCACAAUGUCAUUAUCCAUUUAUGAAAAGAGAAAUGUAGAUGAUGUAACUAGUUAAUCUGUUCAUUUGGAAUUUAUGGAUUAAUUUUCAACCUUACAGUAUUUAAUCUGUUCAUUCAUAGCAGGUUGGUGAUGUUAGCAGAGACUAAACCAAAAUCCAAAAAGAAAGUGAAGAAGAAAAAGUUCAAGUCUCUGAAGAAAGGAGCUCUAGCAUGUCAACCAGAAGCAGCACAAGAGGAACCAUCAUUUGAGAGCAUGUCCUUUGACUAUGAAGAUAUAAGCUCUGAGAUGGCCGACCUGUCAGAUUUUGUUCCAUCAGAAUCACCUAUUAAGAGAAAACGUAAGAAGGCUCAGGGAGCAUUGGAAAUGGAUGAAGAAAAAAGAAAAAGUAAAAAGUCCAAAAAACCCAAGAAAGAUAAAAACAAAAGCAGUCAUUAUCUUUUGGAUUCCAAGAUGGAUAAGCAGUACAAUGAUGGUAAAGAAUCAAAAGGUAGUGACACUGUGGUCAAUGAUCUUGAUCACAAGCCAGUGAGCCGGAGCAAGAUGGGAGGCAAAAUUUCUAUUACUGCUAUGCCAGUGAAGCGGAUUCUGGUGAUCAAACCAGAAAAACUCAACAAGAAAGGAAGUAUUUGGUCAAGAGGUUGUAAUGUAUCACCUGAUUCUUGGUCAUCACAGGAAGAUGCGAUACUUUGUGCUGUUGUGCAUGAAUACGGUUCAAAUUGGAGUUUAGUGAGUGAUGUACUCUAUGGAAUGAAUGCUGGUGGUUUUUACCGUGGAAGGUUUCACCACCCUGUUCAUUGUUGUGAGAGGUUCAGGGAGCUUUUUCAAAGAUUUGUCAAGUCUGCCACAGAAAAUCAAAAUAAUGAGAAGGUCAGCAACACUGGCUCAGGAAAGUCUAUCCUCAGAGCAACAGAGGUAUUACUAUUUUCUCCUUGAAAUCAUAUAUGAAAGUAGCCCUAUUAUAUUUUGCAUUUAGUCAUGAUAAAACCAGAGUUGAAAAAUUGGUUUUAUAGUUGACACUUUUGUGCAAGUUUUGACAUAUAUGUUGCAAAAUGCAUCGAUGCAUUAAGCCCUAUCUAAGAAUCUAAGAUCUAUUAAUUGGUGGAUUCAAUGUCAAACAUCUUUCUGUGCAUUCCUAAUUUCUAGUCAUGCAGUUGGAGACAGUUAUCUAUAUAGGUUAUUUCUUAUUAGAAAAAUUGUUAGUGUGUGUGAUUAUGUGAAAACAUGAGUUGUGCAUCUAUGAGAGCAGAAACUAGGAACUCAAAAACCUAAGAGCAUGAGAUGGGGCAAUAGCAUUAUAAUGUAUUGUAUUUGGGGAUGGGGGUUGUAGUGUAUUUACUCCUUGCUAGUAUACUACUGGAGCACUUCUUGAUGUAACUGAGUUUUAUGUCAAUGAAUGCAUGUAAUUUAUGAAAAAAAACAAGAUGAGAAUGUCAAAAUGCACAAAAAAUGAACAAUUUUUUUCAGAGCAAGUCCUAUGAAUCUGACGAGCAUCUAAUUUAUGCAAGUAACUAUAACCUAAUUACCGGAGAUGUGAUUGGUAACAUCUGAACAGAAGUAUACAUUUACAAUAUGUAUCACUAGAGGCUUUCAUAAAUAUUUUGCUUCAUCUCACAAAUAUGUUGGCCACCCAGUCUCCUUUGGUCUCAUGAAGUGUUGUCAAAUAAUAACUUGGCUCUGCAUGCAAUGGGUGCUGUUGUCAAAUAUAUUUUUGAAAGUGAAGCUAAUCUUCUUUCUUAUAUGUUGGUUUGCUAUCUAUUUAUUUAUUGGGUGCCUUGCCAGCUUGAGUUGUAUAAAAAUGCUUCAUACUUUCAUAGGUUCUUUCGGGAAUUUUGCUUCAGUGUCAUCCACCAUAUAUAAAAUAUAUGGAACUUAUUAUUAGGCAUGGUUAGUUCAUGUUUGUUAAGAUUGAUAAAAGAAGGCAUUUAGAAGGCAUCUAUUGUUCCGAUUACAUCUUUAUAUAUUUCUUUUUUUAUGAGUCGUAUGGAUCCUCUUCCAUUGUUAUUGUGAUGAUAGAAACCAGCUAUUAGUUUUGAAUAGGGGAAGAACUUACCUGCCGGCAUGGAUUUGUCUUGACAGGAUGGUAUACGGACCCUAUUAGACGUGGCCAGUGAUCUGCCAGAUAAUGAGCUACUUCUUCAAAGACACUUUACUGCAGUAAUCUCCUCAGUUUGGAGGGUGAGGUCACGAGUAGGCCGCUUGCAAGGCAUGCCAUCAUCUUUUGAUAGCAUCUAUUAUAGGAAAUCCACACAGGAAUCACUACAAAACUUCAAUUAUGCGGUUUCAUGCCAGAGCAGUAAGCUAGUUUCUACUGCUCUCCAUGAUGCUGAGACGAACCAACUAAAUGCAAUAAUGCCAUCCAGACAGAGGACAGAAGCUUCAGCAGAGGUGGAAAAGUUGGAUAUUACAUUGGAAUUCCAUACUGCCGAAGAUCCUAAGAUUCCCCUGCCAUCCACUAUCUUCCUAUCAAUUUGUGGCCCAGACGCACCAUUAUCAGCUAAUGAGUCGAAUGGGGGGUUACUGCCGCUGGACUCUUCUUUUAAUGCUGCUGAGAAACCUUUCAGGUAUUUAACAACAGUAGCUGUUUCUUUCUAGCUAUUAUGACUUUUAUAUUUUGGAGUUGGAUGCCUAUACGGCAGUUAUGGUCAAUCACCUAUGUGGGGCUCUCUCCUUAUCUCCUUAUCUUCCUAUCUGUUAAAUUCACCUAGACUUGUUUGAGUCAGUCUUUUGAUCAGCUGUCAAUUUUGUUUUACGAUGACUACCUACUAUCCCCUUAUGUGGUUUCUUUUGUGUUUAUAAUUCCAUCUCAAUGAGUUCAAAAUGGCCGAACCUUAUCUGAGACAUGUUAAAGUUGUUGUGAGGCCACUAACUGUUCUGAAAUUUUUAAGUGUUUUUAUACAAUGCGAUCAUAUCUAAAGUCAUUUAUACGUCAGAUAAAAGCUUGGAAAGUUAAAUGAUAUAAAUUCCUUACAGAUAAGUUAGUGGAAAUAGGAUUAGAAUAGGUAUGGAUAAACUAUCGCCUUAUUGGAUAACAUCACCUUUCUGGCAAGACAUAUACCUCACUCAAUUCUGGGAUAAUAUCUGGUUCUAGAUCUUAUUAGAAUAGUUUUUCUUACCCAAAAUUUUUAUAAUGCCUUCAUAUCCUUUACAUGUUGGAAUAAUGACCUAAUAAGAAAUGAAAAUACAGUUCUGACUGCGGGCAAAGAAGUUAAUUUUUUUUUUAUCGAUAAAAGAUUCCUUUCCUGACCAAUUAUGGUCUAUGUUAACAUACACAUUGUUAUUGACAUCUAGAAUGUGCCUUGAUAUUGUUAUUAGCGUAAACAUAUUGAGUAAUAUUAUACAUAUUUGGCUUUGGAUGCCAAACGAGUUUUGUGUGUGUGUGUGUGCCAUUCUAGUCAUGUGCUCCAGUUGACCUUUAACUUUUAUACAUCUAGGUUACCCUUUUUGGGAGUAGUGUACCUCAUUUGAAAUCUUAAUGUGCUAACCCUGGAAUAGCAAUGCUGAACCUGAACUUUGCCUUCCAUGUUUGUUACCCUGAGGUUUACUAGUCUCUUAGAUGUUUAUGUGUUACAUUUGUUGUUUAGUUACUUCCAUUGUUACUAAUUCCACAUUAUAUCUAUGGCAGGAUGGCUUCGAAAACUUGCUUUGAUGGUGCUUCGUCGGCUUUACCAUCGGGGGAUGUUGUAAGAUCUCGAUCCACAUCGAAGCAACAAUCUUUAGGGAAAAACAAGGCCCCUAUGUCUGAUUCAAUCAUGUCGUCCAAGUCCAAGCUUGCAAGGAUAUCUACAGAGACCAGCGAGGAAUAUCCAAUCAGCAAAUUAGAAUUUCCAUCACCAAGGCCAGUGGCUCAGAAUAUUGAGUAUUCACAUCUCAUUGGUCAUUCAGUAUGUGAUGGUGACAUGGACAAUGGCAGUUACCCCGGUAUUAUGAAUGAUAGCUUUAUGCGUGAUCUGGAUAUUUUUAAUGCAGUUCCUCAUCAUUUUGACCCAGACUUCUUUUCUGGCCUUGAAGAUUGUACAGUAUUGCCAGACUUCACUGAUAUUGGAUGACUUGGAGCCCCACCUGAGUUAUUAUUAUAUUUUAAGAAAAAUGGUGGCUUGUUAUUUAGUGGGCACCUUGGUGAUAUAUCAUUCUUCUCACCUUGAUUCUGUCAUUGCCAAGUCGGCAGAGAGUUAUAAGAUGGAGAAUAUUGAUGGCCGCCAUUUCAGCAUGGUCGUUUGUGGGGUGGGGUGGGGGGCUUACACGGGGGAAGAGUUGAUGGAUGAUAGUAGCAAGGAUUGUUGUACAGUAACGUCGGUGGCUGUGAGAAAUGUAAAUUACUUAGUGUUGUAACUAACAUAACCACAGGAAAAGUCUGUUAUUUUUUUAGGCUUAUCCUCUUGCAGUGAACAAACAAUGAAAGUUAUAAUGGGAAAGGUCAUUCUUACUGCUUCUGGGACUUGCUAUACUGUAGUUUGUUUCAAAUUGAACUUGGUCCUUUAGUCCAAGAUUAAACUUCACUUCAUCCAUUAGAUUCUAUUCAAUUGUUUGAUAGAGAAAUUUUCCCCCUUUCAUCUGUGUUGUUUUAUAAAGCAGAAGUCAGUAAUUGUUAUCGAUGCAAGCAUAAUUUUGUUUGUCUUAAAUUUUGAUUAUUUGUAAUUUUAUUGACUGGGAAAAGAUUACAGAGGAAGUCAUGCCUGGUACAAAGGGAAAUAUAACUGGUCCUGUUUAGUUGCAGAAAACAGUUUUCAGUUUUCUAUCUCCAGUUUCCUGGAUUUAAUAUUGUGGCACUCUAUUUUUGGCUUCUUUUACUCAAGGAUACAGAGGUACUUCCCUGUAGAACAGAUCCUGUUCAGAUUGGCUUCUUUCAAAUUUAAAAAUUCAACCAAAAUAAUGACUUAAGAAAAUAAUAAAGUCCAUUCUACAAAAUCCUUACAAUAAUGAAACAUUGUUUACAUAAUCCAAAAUACCAAUACAUAAAACUACAUGUGACAAAUUCAACACUAAAAAAUAAGCUAAAUACUAAAUAUAUAAAGAAUUAACGACGACAAUUGUAGUCAUUCCACAUCUCAUUUGUAAUACCAUCUCUAACUGCAUUCAUCUGGUUCUGUUGGGACAUCUACUUGAAUACCCUCUUGUACCACGCCAAAGUCCAACUCAUCUUCCACUACUAAUCCUUCUCUUGUAACAUACUCUAUGUAUUUCUUGCCACUAAGCAUAAAUGUCCUACAAGGAAUCUUAUCCACGAAAAGACUUUCACAUUCGAGAAUAUAUCUCACCAUAAGUAAAUCUAUCAUAUCAUCAUCAUAAUCAUCAUCACUGGAACUGGAAUCACUACUUGAUGAACCUUGCAUAGAACUGUUGGGCAAAGCUUGUGCCAUUUCACUACAUUACGAUUAGAAAGAGUGUUAAUCAUUUUAGAAAAAUGCACAUGCAUUUGUAGUAUAUAUUGUAGUAUAUACGUAAAAACAUUAUGCACAUGCAAAACCAUUGCAAUAUAGAAAAAAGACAGCUUAAACUCAAUAUUUCAUGGUCCAUGGAGCCCCAAACAAGUCUAUUUAGAUCGUUUUCUUGCAAGUUGCAAUCCCAGUACACAAACAACAGAUGAUAUGAUUUGCAGCUAUACUUACUUUGGCCAUAACAAUUAAAGGAAAUGGAAUAACCCACUUUUCUAGGCCUUUUCAUAUAUGCAGGAGCCAUAGUAACAUUUAAUAAAAAAUCCGAGUAAUCGAUCCAAACUUGAUAAUUCAUACCCUUAUUAUGCUUCAACUUAUAAAAUUUAUCAUGUUGAACAUCAGACCAAUAACCAACAGAAUGUGCAGCAAUGGAAGUAAGUGAACAUAGAUCAAUACCCACAUGAUUAUUAAUUUAUUAUCAAUAUAAUUAAACUCUUGAUUCUCAAACACAUCAAACUCAACUCCCAACACACGAUUAUCAGGUUUCCCAUCAUUUGUUCUAUUGAAAAGCUCAAGAUGUUGAGCUGAAAUGGGUGUUUGGUAGCCAUUAGAGCUAAGCAGCUUUUUCUGCUGCUUAUCUCAGGUUCUAAGCUGGUUGUAAUGUUUUAUUUAUAUUAUUUAAAGCCAUUUAUAGAAGAGACUAUUGUAGAACUUUACAACAGAACUUCCCCUCAGUGUUUAACAAUCGCAGGCCUGGGUUGUUCUUCAGGACCUAACUCACUAUUUGUCAUUUCUGAGCUUCUAAAAGCUAUCAGUGUAGUCUGUCAGAAAUUGGGACGUUUGCCACCUGAGUUUCAAGUGUUUUUAAAUGAUCUUCCAGAAAAUGAUUUUAACACCAUCUUUAAAUCGAUUCCUUACUUCUUUAAGAAAUUCAGGUCAGAAAAUGGACAAGAAGUUGGACCUAGUUUUGUGGCAGGGGUGCCAGGAUCGUUUUAUAACAGGCUCUUUCCAACCAAAACCUUAAACUUUGUUCAUUCUUCCUAUGCUCUUCAUUGGCUCUCUCAGGUAUAAUGGUUAAAAAAAAUCACAUCAUACAGUACUUGUAUUAUGAGUUUUGAAGGAGUCACAUCUUCUAAAGUUGUUGACUGGCAUGCAUGCACUUUUCUAGCUUGAAUGCAACAAACAAAAUGUCUAACGUCGUUGCACAAUUACGUUUCAUGCAGGUUCCUCAAGGUAUCGAGAAUAAUAAGGGCAAUGUUUAUUUGGCAAGGACAUGCCCUUCCAAUGUAUAUAAAGCAUAUGCAGAACAAUUUAAUAGAGACUUCUCUGUUUUCUUAAGUUUGCGUUCGAUAGAAAUGGUCAUUGGAGGAUGUAUGGUCAUAACAAUUAAAGGAAAUGGAAUAACUCACUGAACAAGUUAUUCUAACCAAAGACUGUUGAGAGGAGAAAAUUCCUAUCUUCUAAACCCAUGCUCGCAAAAUCCCAGGGAAAAUUUCCAUGUCGCAAAAUCCCAGAAAAUACACUAGUUCAAAAGCUAAGCUAAAUUCAGUCAAACCCCCAAAUCCCAGAGAAGAAAACCCCAAAUUUUAAUACUAUCUGUUGAUAAUAACAAUUGUUAAUACCUUUCUCUAAUUCUAAUUGAUUAUUGAGUAAUCACUUGCAACAAAAAGUUGAAAACCUAAGAAGAUAAAUGUCAAAAUUAGAGAUUGAGUAGAAAUUAUUCUUAGAUCUAAUAAUUAUAUCAAUAAUUGAUUGAAUAGAAAUAUGAAGAAGUAAUAGAAAUCGAUCAAUUACCUUUUCGAAGAUGAAACUUGAAAGUAGUCGGUGAUGUUGUUUUGUGAAGAGGAAAGAGAGAGAAGAAUAAGAGGAAGAAGAUUAUGGUGAAGAGAAGAAAGAGGUGAGGAGGAGAAGAAGAGAUCGAUGAACCUUCAACCUUUCUCCAUGAUUUCUUCUUUUUCUUUUUCGAGUGGUUUUUUUUUUUUUCGCGAUAGUUUUCUUGAUAGAAAACUCUAAAACAGUGUUUUCUGAUUUUAGUUGUAUUUAGAAAAC
rnacentral:lncRNA from 1 species